rnacentral:rRNA from 1 species
GACGAACGCUGGCGGCGUGCUUAACACAUGCAAGUCGAACGGGAUUUCGUAGACAGCAGCUUCGGUGGAAGAUUACUAAUGAGAGUGGCGAACGGGUGAGUAACGCGUGAGCAACCUGCCUAUGACAGUGGGAUAGCCUCGGGAAACCGGGAUUAAUACCGCAUAAAAUCGUAGAAACACAUGUUUCAACGGUCAAAGAUUUAUCGGUCGUAGAUGGGCUCGCGUCUGAUUAGCUAGUUGGUGAGAUAACAGCCCACCAAGGCGACGAUCAGUAGCCGGUCUGAGAGGAUGAACGGCCACAUUGGAACUGAGACACGGUCCAAACUCCUACGGGAGGCAGCAGUGGGGAAUAUUGCACAAUGGGGGAAACCCUGAUGCAGCGACGCCGCGUGAACGAAGAAGGUAUUCGUAUCGUAAAGUUCUGUCCUAUGGGAAGAUAAUGACAGUACCAUAGAAGAAAGCUCCGGCUAAAUACGUG